rnacentral:rRNA from 1 species
AGCGAACGCUGGCGGCAGGCCUAACACAUGCAAGUCGAACGAACCUUUCGGGGUUAGUGGCGGACGGGUGAGUAACACGUGGGAACGUGCCUUUAGGUUCGGAAUAACUCAGGGAAACUUGUGCUAAUACCGAAUGUGCCCUUCGGGGGAAAGAUUAAUCGCCUUUAGAGCGGCCCGCGUCUGAUUAGCUAGUUGGUUGAGGUAAUGGCUCACCAAGGCGACGUUCAGUAGCUGGUCUGAGAGUAUGAUCAGGCACAUUGGGGCUGAGACACGGCCCAAACUCCUACGGGAGGCAGCAGUGGGGAAUCUUGCGCAAUGGGGGAAGGCCUGACGCAGCCAUGCCGGGUGAAUGAUGAAGGUCUUAGGAUUGUAAAAUUCUUUCACCGGGGACGAUAAUGACGGUACCCGGAGAAGAAGCCCCGGCUAACUUCGUG